rnacentral:rRNA from 1 species
GAAAGUAAUGAAGGGCGUACGGUGGAUGCCUAGGCUCUUACAGGCGAUGAAGGACGUGAUAAGCUGCGAAAAGCCGCGGUGAGGCGCAAAUGGCCCUUGACCCGCGGAUCUCCGAAUGGGACAACCCAAUAUCUUGAAGAGAUAUUAUCCCGCCGAUGCGGGAGGCGAACGCGGGGAACUGAAACAUCUUAGUACCCGCAGGAAAAGAAAAUAAAGAAUGAUUCCCCCAGUAGUGGCGAGCGACCGGGGAAGAGCCCAAACCGACGUUGUCUCGGCAUCGUCGGGGUUGUAGGACCGCGCCAUCGCAAGAAAGGCCGUGAGUGGAAGCGACUGGAAAGCCGCGCCAUAGAGGGUGACAGCCCCUUACACGAAGCAGCCCGAAGCGUAGCGGACUCCUGAGUAGCGCGGGACACGAGUAAUCCUGUGUGAAUCCGCCGGGCCCAUCCGGCAAGGCUAAAUACUCGUAAGAGACCGAUAGUGAACCAGUACCGUGAGGGAAAGGUGAAAAGUACCCCUUGCAGGGGAGUGAAAGAGUUCCUGAAACCGUACGCCUACAAGCGGUCGGAGCAUCUUGAAUGAUGUGACGGCGUGCCUUUUGCAUAAUGAACCUACGAGUUGCCGUCACCAGCGAGGUUAAGUGCGAUGACGCACCGAGCCGCAGCGGAAGCGAGUCUUAAAAGGGCGCAAUAGUUGGUGGAGGCAGACGCGAAACCGAGUGAUCUACACUUGUCCAGGAUGAAGUCCCGGUAACACGGGAUGGAGGUCCGCACCAAUAAGCGUUGAAAAGCUUCUGGAUGAGGUGAGUGUAGGAGUGAAAGGCCAAUCAAACUCGGAGAUAGCUCGUACUCCCCGAAAGGCAUUUAGGUGCCGCCUGUGGCGUUCCCGACGUGAGGUAGAGCGACUGAUAGGAUGCGAGGGCUUCACCGCCUAUCAAGUCCUGACAAACUCCGAAUGCACGUCGGCCAAGCCAUGGAGUAAGGGCAUGGGUGCUAAGGUCCGUGCCCGAGAGGAGAAGAAUCCAGACCACCGGCUAAGGUCCCGAAAUACUGGUUAAGUUAGACUAACGCAGUCCGGCCCCCAAGACAGCUAGGAUGUUGGCUUGGAAGCAGCCAUUCAUUCAAAGAGUGCGUAACAGCUCACUAGUCGAGGAGCUGGGCGUGGAUAAUAAUCGGGUAUGAAACCAGUUACCGAAGCCGUGGGAUGCUUAAGCAUCGGUAGGGGAGCAUUGCAUGCGGCUUAGAAGGCGGGGCGCGAGCCCCUCUGGAGCGCAUGGAAACGCAAAUGUAGGUAUAAGUAACGACAAGGGGGGUGGGAUGCCCCCCCGCCGAAAGACCAAGGUUUCCUGAACAACGCUAAUCGGUUCAGGGUCAGUCGGGUCCUAAGCAUAAGCCGUAUGGCGAGGGCGAUGGACGAAACGGUUAAUAUUCCGUUACUGUCUUGGUGUGUGACGCGGCGACGGAGUAGUGACACGGCCGCCUCCUGACGGAAAAGGAGGUUGAAGCGCAAAGGUGUCGAGGAAGGCAGGCAAAUCCACCUUCCGAGCCGAAGCGCGAAAGUACGCCGGGCCCUUUGGGGCAAGGCGAUAGUGCCGGUAAUCAGACUUCCAAGAAAACCCGCUAAACUUCAGCACCAAGUCACCCGUACUCCAAACGGACACACGUGGUCGGGUAGAAUAUACUAAGGCGCUUGGGAGAUUCACGGUUAAGGAACUAGGCAAAUUGACCCCGUACCUUCGGAAUAAGGGGUCCUCGCUUUUGCGAGGCGCAGAGAAUAGGUCCAGGCAACUGUUUAACAAAAACACAGGGCUGUGCAAAUUUGAAAGAAGAAGUAUACAGCCUGACACCUGCCCGGUGCCGGAAGGUUAAGAGGAGAGCUCAUCAGCGAUGAGAAGGCUUGAAUUGAAGCCCCGGUAAACGGCGGCCGUAACUAUAACGGUCCUAAGGUAGCGAAAUUCCUUGUCGGGUAAGUUC